rnacentral:lncRNA from 1 species
CUAUGCUUACUCCAUCUUACUUCUCUUAGGUCUUACAAUGGAAGUGCCCUAUUACAUUUUGUUCUUUUCUAUGAUUUCCAAUUAUUUUAUGAAAUUUUUCAUUUAUUUUUUCUGUUCUUUCUAUCUUUAAUUUCUAUGUAACUUUUUGAAAUAGAUCUCAAAGAUUUUAUAUAUAUAUAUAUAUAUAUAUAUACACACACACACAGAGAGAGAGAUAUAUAUCUACUGUACUAUUGAAGUAGAUUCCUAAAGUUUUUAUCUCUUCUAGAAUAUUGGUUUCACAACACCCCUAUUAUGUGUAUUUAAUUUUACCCACCACAUGGCGUUUUCAAAAAGUCUUUAUUUGGCGGAAUACAACUUCAGAAUCUGAUUCGAAGAGAAAAUUGCUCACAGCCGUGAGCCACUGUGCCUGGCCGAUUUUUACUAUUUAAAGAAGGAAGAAUUUUAGCAGCGUGGGGUGGCUCAUGCCUGUAAUCCCAGCACUUUGGGAGGCUGAGGUGGGCGGAUCACUUGAGGCCAGUAGUUCAAGAACAGCCUGGCCAACAUGACGAAACCCCAUCUCUACUAAAAAUACAAAAAUUAGCCAGGCGUGGUGGCACGUGCCUGUAGUCCCAGCUACUCGAAGGCUUAGGCAGGAGAAUCGCUUGAAUCAGAGACAGGGAGGCUGCAAUGAGCCGAGAUUGCACCACUGCACUCCAGCCUGGGCGACAGUGCAAGACUCCAUCUCAAAAAUAAAGAGGAAUUGGAGGAGGAAAUAAAUGAAUAAAUGACAAAGGUGACAAAGGACCAAAGAUCUGUGACUUGUGCAAAGAUUGCUCUGUGGUAAUUAUUACAGAAACAAUGUUUGUAUCUUAUUUUUUAGGGAAUUUUGUAUAUUGUCUAAUCUGAUUUACUUUGUUUUUAAUAGUUUGCUGCAGGUCUAGAAGAUGUCACAGAAUUUCAAGGAAGAGAGGUAGAGGAGGGCUGGAAUGAGGUCCUCCACUU